UCUCCUCAUAAUUUCAACUAA
rnacentral:piRNA from 1 species